rnacentral:rRNA from 1 species
UACGUAGGGUGCAAGCGUUAAUCGGAAUUACUGGGCGUAAAGCGUGCGCAGGCGGCUUUGCAAGACAGAUGUGAAAUCCCCGGGCUCAACCUGGGAACUGCAUUUGUGACUGCACGGCUAGAGUGUGUCAGAGGGGGGUAGAAUUCCACGUGUAGCAGUGAAAUGCGUAGAUAUGUGGAGGAAUACCGAUGGCGAAGGCAGCCCCCUGGGAUAACACUGACGCUCAUGCACGAAAGCGUGGGGAGCAAACAGG